AUGUACGUCGUGAAGCAGGACGGGCGGACGGAGACGGUGCACUUCAACAAGAUCAUGGUGCGGCUCAAGAAACUCAGCUAUGGGCACUUCGACAAGAGCACUAUGACCCGUGCUCGUCGCGCAGAAGGUCUGCGUAGAAGGUCUGCGUCAGGGUAUACAUGGGUGUCACCACCAGCCAGCUCGACGAGCUCGCCGCCGAGACCGCCGCCGCACUCACCGCCUCCCAGCCUGACUAUGCCUCUCUUGCGGCGAGGAUUGUUGUGUCCAACCUGCCGCCAAGUGGAAAUAGUCUGUGUGGCGCUCAUAAAUAAAGAGCAUUCUUGUAGAAAGCAUAUUGAUUUCAUCUUGAAAUAA
rnacentral:rRNA from 1 species